GAAAUGCGAUACUUGGUGUGAAUUGCAGAAUCCCGUGAACCAUCGAGUCUUUGAACGCAAGUUGCGCCCGAAGCCAUCAGGUUGAGGGCACGUCUGCCUGGGCGUCACAUAUCGUUGCACGUCUGCCUGGGCGAAUGAUGGCUUCCCGUGAGCGUUGUUGCCUCGCGGCUGGUUGAAAAUCGAGUCCUUGGUAGGGUGUGCCAUGAUAGAUGGUGGUCGAGUUCGCACGAUACCGAUCAUGUGCAUGCUCCCCAAAAUAUGGCCUCUAUGACCCACACGUGUCUUUUGACGCUCAUGACGAGACCUCAGGUCAGGCGGGGCUACCCGCUGAAUUUAA
rnacentral:misc_RNA from 1 species